rnacentral:rRNA from 1 species
AAGGUAGCGUGAUAAUUCGCCUCUUAAUUGCAGGCUUGUACGAAUGGACAAACGAGAGAAAAGCUGUCUCCUACUUAAACAUAAAAAUUAGUCUUCAGGUGAAGAAACCUGAAUAAAAUUAAAGGACAAGAAGACCCCGUAGAGCUCUGUCCUAACCCCUUAUAUUUCUAAAUAUUUUAUAUUAAAUCUAUAAGAAAAUAAAGACUUAGCUGGGGCGGCUAAGGAUAAACUAAAUCAUCCAUUUACCUCUAUCCCUGUAUAAAAUUAAAGCAUAUAAGCUAAAAAAUUGACCCUUACCAAGACCAAAAAAUAUAGCUACCUCGGGGAUAACAGAUUUAUCCUUCUUGAGAGUUCACAUUGACAGAAGGGCUUGACACCUCGAUGUUGGCUUAGGGUACCCAAUAGAUCAGCAACAGUCUAUACAUGGUAGGUUUGUUCAACCUUUAAAACCCUACGUGAU